rnacentral:rRNA from 1 species
UUUGAGAUUUAUGUAUAAAGAGUCGGGCCUGCCCAGUGAUGUAUUUUUAACGGCCGCGGUACUCUGACCGUGCGAAGGUAGCAUAAUCAUUUGCCCUAUAAUUGAGGGCUAGUAUGAAUGGUUUGACAUGAGCAUAACUGUCUCCUUAAAAUUUUAUAAAAUUUGGUUUUUAGGUGAAGAAACCUAAAUUAAAUUGAAAGACAAGAAGACCCUAUCGAGCUUUAGAAUAAUUAGUUAAAAAAUAUAAAUAAAACAAUUAAUUUUAAUUAAAAACUUUGGUUGGGGCGACUGAGGAACAUAUAAAGCUUCCUUAAUUAAACAAUGCUGAUAAGCAAUGAUCCAGGAAAUCUGAUUAAAAAAAUUAGUUACCGUAGGGAUAACAGCAUAAUCUUUUUUGAGAGCUCUUAUCGAAAAAAAGGUUUGUGACCUCGAUGUUGGACUAGGAUAUCCUAAAGAUGUAGAAGUCUUUAAUGGUUGCUCUGUUCGAGCAUAAAAAUCCUACGUGAUC